rnacentral:rRNA from 1 species
AGUGGCGCAAGGGUGCGUAACACGUGGGUAAUUUGCCAUGAAGUCUGGAAUAACUUGCUGAAAGGCGAGCUAAUGCCGGAUGUGAUUACUGGAAGGCAUCUUCUGGUACUUAAAGUCGGGGACCGUAAGGCCUGACACUUUUCGAUAAGCCCGCGGCCUAUCAGCUAGUUGGUGAGGUAACGGCUCACCAAGGCUAAGACGGGUAGCUGGUCUGAGAGGACGACCAGCCUCACUGGAACUGAGACACGGUCCAGACACCUACGGGUGGCAGCAGUCGAGAAUUUUUCUCAAUGGGGGAAACCCUGAAGGAGCGACGCCGCGUGGGGGAUGAAUGGCUUCGGCCCGUAAACCCCUGUCAUUUGCGAUCAAACCUUACGACCUAACACGUCGUAAGCUGAUAGUAGCGGAAGAGGAAGGGACGGCUAACUCUGUGCCAGCAGCCGCGGUAAUACAGAGGUCCCAAGCGUUGUUCGGAUUCACUGGGCGUAAAGGGUGCGUAGGCGGUCGGGUAAGUCUGACGUGAAAUCUUCAAGCUCAACUUGGAAACUGCGUCGGAUACUAUUCGGCUAGAGGAAUGGAGGGGAGACUGGAAUACUUGGUGUAGCAGUGAAAUGCGUAGAUAUCAAGUGGAACACCAGUGGCGAAGGCGAGUCUCUGGACAUUUCCUGACGCUGAGGCACGAAAGCCAGGGGAGCAAACGGGAUUAGAUACCCCGGUAGUCCUGGCCCU